GUUUUUCUUGUUACCUCCCCCUUAACUGCCCAAAAGAAUUCAGAUUAAAAAAAUCUGUCUCAGGAAGGGAGCUAUUGCCUUAGCAUAACAUGAGCCAGGUGGUAGCCAGGGAAGAACCUAGAAAAGCCAGUUUGCUGGGCUCCCCUCUCUGUUCUUCUGUUUCUGUGGCCAAAGAAACACUGUCUUCCAA